CCCGUUUUACAUUAACACAAUUCUUCUCAGCUUUCAAAACCCUCUUCAAUCUUCAAUCACAUCAUCACAGGAAAUCAACCACCAUAGUACAUACCCAUGAAAAUCAACUCUUUCUUCUCUGUAAUUUGAGCAGCAGCGGGUCUUCCAACUCCUUCAUCAUCUCUUUCAAUCUUUACGAAAAACAACGAGAUCUUCUCUCUCGACUGAUUUCGCAAAUCGAUAGAACCACAACAACUUCAUGCUCAUAUGUAACUUGAUUUCUUCAUCUGGUUGCAAAUCGAGCUCAACCCAACUCUUAGCAUCAUCCAAGAACUCUCAAAGUGAACCACACCAAUCACCACAGCUCAAGAACAACUCAUAUUUUUGUAACCCUAAAACCAUCAAACCCAUCACAGGUUCAAUCUGCUCCUCUCUCGAUUGAGCAACACCAACAAAUUCUUUAAAAACCCAUCUCAAUUUCAUCGAUUAUCUUCACUGAUCAACUAAUCCUUCGAUUAUGUUUACAGAGAUAAAAACCCUAAAUUCAUUUCAAUUUUCAAUCAUCAUGAAUCUCUAUCUCUGUUGUUCUUGAUCUGAACAGAAAUAACACUCUUCAUGAUGAAGUCGACCUCAGAAAAGAGAAAGAAAAAAGAGAAUAGGAGACAAAGAAAUUACAAGUUAAGAAGGGGGAGAUGAAGGUGAAUGGUAGUGCUAAGAAGAAGAAGGGUUCAAGUGGAUUUCAAGUUGGGAAGAAGAAAGUAGAGACUAAAAUGACUGCGUUGGAUAAAGCUAAAGCUAUGAACCUUGACAAAUAAAAGUAUGUGGACUCUCAGUUAAGUUUUAGUUCUUCUUAAUUUUUGUUGACAGUGAUUAUGGUUUCCCUUUAGGCACAAGAACUAUUUGUAGAAUGUCACAAAGAGUUCGCUAUUCACAUAUACCCUGAAGAUAGUAGUUUUGCAUGUUAGAAUUCCCUCUACAUCCUCCAUUUGUGUUUUUUUUUUUUUAAUGAUUGUGGGUAGUAGGCAAUUUAGCUGCGAAGUAGAUUAUAUUUUGGAAAAAUGAAGAUAAAUAAAUAAUGGCUUCGAGAAAGGAUUGCUUGAUAUGGUGAAAGUAAAUUAAAACCUUCCUUGUUUAAGAUGGGACUUUCAAAAAAGUGGGAGGAAGUGGAUAUUAUGUCAACCAACGAAGUGUCGAUAUGCUUAUCCUAAAGCAAAAUGUCAGCAUGCCAAACCAUAUUUCUGAUACUUAUUUGGUUCUUUUUUCAUUGUCAUGUAUUUAAAGAUGCAUAUACAAUAUUUUGGUUGUAAUUGUAUUUUGUGAUUAUAUAAGUUUUAGUUGUCUGAUGUGA